rnacentral:lncRNA from 1 species
GGCUGAGAGAGGAGGAUUAAGCUCCUGAAGGCAGAACUCUCUGCAGAGGCUGACUCAAACAGGGCUGAAAUCCCGGCCAAGUGCUUCUGAAAGGGGGACCUGGUAACAGCUGGCACCUCCCAGGGUGGUAGAGCCCUGGCCAGGCGCCCUCUGGUGCGGGAUAAGGUCUGAGCUGCUGUGAUUAUGUUCCAUUUGUAAGCUGCUGUACAGAAUGCACAGCUCCUGUUGCCUGCCGAGUCUACUGCUGAGUACAGUCACGGAGUGAUUUUAAAUACUGAUCUUAAAACCUGAAUCACAGCAAGAGUGUCUAAAAAGCACGGCAAACUCAUUACCUUCUUGCGAACAUUCAUGAAGUCUCGCCCAACAAAGCAGAAGCUAAAGCAGCGGGGCAUCUUGAAAGAGAGAGUGUU